CUCUGAGAAUACUUGAAACUUCUCUUUCUUAAUAGAUGGCCCCAUUUUCCUGGUCUCACAGUAAGCCACGUAUAGCGUCUUGCUUCUCCUAUCUUCGUCCCCAAUCCUUCGUACGUGGGCUGGACCAACGCCCACAAAUUGAUUGCGUUUGAUUUCUUUACGUUCUGCACAUUAAUACAAAUUAAUGGAUUUCCUUUUCAAGAGUAACCGAUGGAUUACUCUCCCUUUUAAAGCAAUGGUGCUGCUCCACUUCCGUUUGUCUCAGGAAGAUUAAUUGCCACAAUUGGAUCUCCACGCAGCUGCUCUUGAGAAUUCUUGACUCUGAGAAUACUUGAAAUUUCUCCCACAGAUAAGCAACAUGUUGGAGCCGAGUAAUUCGAAGCCCUUCCGCAGCCCCAUGGCUCUAGGAAAAGGGAUCGAAACCAAUUCUCAAGCAUCAGCGAAGCGUCAGAUGCCGCGGUGCCUCCAGGUUGUGUAUGCGCUCUGUCACCGAAGUUUUCCAUCCAUGCAAGGUCAGAUGUGAUGAUCUACUGAUUCCUUAUUGUAUCACAACAGUCUUAUUUCAAAACAACUGAUGCUCAUUGCUAUGUCCGUGGGUUGCAACAAUGCCUACCAGACGCCUCACCUGUUCCCACUUUUUUCCAUUGGUUUGCUUCUAGAGCUCCUGAUGGUUAUUAUCCUGGCCUUGACCAGUUGGUCCGCUUUGUCAGCUCCCAGCUUCGCAACUGGUGAUUGCAUCAGGACUAUGGUCAUGGGGAAGAACGUGAUCGAGAGAUUCAAAGCAGGAUUUAUAGUCCUUUCGUGUAGGGACAUGUGAUUGUGGUUCUCAAAGGCCUGAUGCUUUUCCUGUUUUAUUGAAUGUUGCAGGAGAAUGAAGAUGGUUGAUACUGUCCAAGAGAAAAUAGAUGACUCUGCAUGCAUUUACUUACCUCAAUCGUUGUGAUUCAUCCAUGAAGAUGAUUUUACAUACUCCUAUAUAUAAAAAGCAGCAGGCCAUGCAAUGAGAAGAGAAAAUUACAGACUACAAUUGCCGAUCUCACCUGAAUUAUAUAUUACAUGUUUUAAUUACCCUUUACAAUUGUAUAUAUUAUUUAUGUUUUCCCUGAUUGCAUUUCUUUAAGAGCACCAGGUCAUGCAAUGAGAAGAGAAAAUUACACACUGGAAUUGUCAAUCUCACCUGAAUUAUAAAUUAUAUACUUUAAUUACCCUUUACAGUUAUAUAUUAUUUAUGGUUUCCCUAACUGCAUUUCUUUAAUUUUUCUCUACCUAUUGGUUUAAUAAAAGCUAGGAAUGAAUCCAAUUUAGUAUGGUACCUACAAUACUACCUUCGAGUUUUAUAUUAUUUAUGUAUAAACUCAAACACCAUUAUAGGUAUUAUGCAUUUACUGGUUACAGUUAUGCAAUAUUAUCACAUCUCUGAUUUAUGUUGCUAAUUUACAUUCAUAUACGAAUUUGAUAGAAUCCCUAUUAUAUUUAACAAGUGUUUCCUACCAGCCUAUGACAAGACGAGUGGGAAGCAGAUUUUAUCGACCUAUAUACCAUUGAGAUCACGAGAGUGGCAUCUAACAGUAUGUUGAUAACUUUUGUGCGUCACUAAAUUAUCAUAUGGGGUGAUCGAUACAUAACGAGAAACUUUAAUA